UACAGAGGGUGCGAGCGUUACUCGGAAUUAUUGGGCGUAAAGCGUGCGUAGACGGUACGGUAAGUCGGAUGUGAAAGCCCCGGGCUCAACCUGGGAACUGCAUUUGAGACUGCUCUGCUCGGGUGCGGAAGAGGGAAGCGGAAUUUCCGGUGUAGCGGUGAAAUGCGUAGAUAUCGGAAGGGACACCAGUGGCGAAAGCGGCUUCCUGGUCCGUCACCGACGUUCAGGCACGAAAGCGAGGGGAGCAAACAGG
rnacentral:rRNA from 1 species